UUUAUAGCCAUCAUAUAUCAUAACUUGUUCAUCCAUUCCCCACAUACACAUUUAUUCUAAGAAAGUUAUUUCUCUUUUUUUUAUGAGAUAGUGAUAGAAAAGAAAAUUAUUUUCAAUGCAUUUUUUUAUUAAUAGAAGUUGAUGGGAAUACUACAAAUGUGAAAUUUGUAUACUUUCAGAUGACUGUUUUACUUUAUUAUAAGAUAUAUCUCAUGAAGUAGGGGUAAUUUUUCAAUAAUUGUAAUGUAUAAAAUUAAAAAAAAACUUGUCAAAAUUAUUGAGGUCAAAGUAUUUAUGUCUUUUACUCUCCCUGAGGAAUAGAAACUAAUGAUGCCAUUUGAAAUGACAAUGAGGAUAGUAUGAUACAUGCAAAAGCCAGAAUCACAGCUUCUCUCCAGACAUUCUUAUCCCCUCUUUAACAUUGAAUAUGCAAUUGGGAAUUAAUUGAAUUUUGGUGGAAAUGAAACAAAGGAUCCAAGCAUAAUAUUUAUUGUCAUCUUCCUCAGAUCCAUUCACAGAAUGUAAUGGUUAAGAUUUAAGAAACGAAUGACUUCCAGCUUCUGCCUCCCUCUAGUGUUUUUGACUGCAGCUCUAUCUCCACUCAAGAAAGAAGACAAGAAAGCAAAAGGAAUUUUCCCAAAUCUAUUGCAUGAGGAAGACCUC
rnacentral:lncRNA from 1 species